rnacentral:rRNA from 1 species
UACAGAGGUCCCAAGCGUUGUUCGGAUUUACUGGGCGUAAAGGGUGCGUAGGUGGUUGGAUAAGUCUGAUGUGAAAUCUCCGGGCUCAACCCGGAAAUGGCAUUGGAUACUAUUCAACUAGAGGGUUGGAGGGGGGACUGGAAUACUUGGUGUAGCAGUGAAAUGCGUAGAUAUCAAGUGGAACACCAGUGGCGAAGGCGAGUCCCUGGACAACUCCUGACACUGAGGCACGAAAGCUAGGGGAGCAAACAGG